UACAGAGGUCUCAAGCGUUGUUCGGAUUCAUUGGGCGUAAAGGGUGUGUAGGUGGCGCCGUAAGUCGGGUGUGAAAUUUCGGAGCUUAACUCCGAAACUGCAUUCGAUACUGCGGUGCUUGAGGACUGGAGAGGAGACUGGAAUUCAUGGUGUAGCAGUGAAAUGCGCAGAUAUCAGGAGGAACACCGGUGGCGAAGGCGGGGUCUCUGGGCAAUAACUGACGCUGAGGAGCGAAAGCGUGGGGAGCGAACAGG
rnacentral:rRNA from 1 species